GACGAACGCUGGCGGCGUGCUUAACACAUGCAAUUCGAGCGGAGCGGCGAACGGGUGAGUAACGCGUGAGUAACUGCCCCCCUCUCUGGGAUAACAGUUGUAAACGGCUGCUAAUACAGGAUAGUGGGGGAUGACUCGCGUCCUAUCACCUUGUUGGUGGGGUAGUGGCCUACCACGGCGACGACGGUUCGCGGGCCUGAGGGGGCGACCGGCCAAAUUGGGCUGAGAUACGGCCCAAACUACUACGGGAGGCAGCAGUGAGGAAUAAUGCACAAUGGGGGAAACCCUGAUGCAGCAACGCCGCGUGCGAGAUGACGGCCUUCGGGGUGUAAACCGCUUUCAGCCAUGACGCGGUAGUGGCAUAAGAAGCACCGGCUAAAGACGUGCCAGCAGCGGCGGUAAUAC
rnacentral:rRNA from 1 species